GUAUUUCGGACCAGAAACGUUCUUUUAUUGAGAAGUUUGUCAAACUUGGUCAUUUAGAGGAAGUAAAAGUCGUAACAAGGUUUCCGUAGGUAAACCUGCGGAAGGAUCAUUA
rnacentral:rRNA from 1 species